rnacentral:rRNA from 1 species
CUACGGGCCGCUCCAGUGAGGAAUAUUGCACAAUGGGGGGAACCCUGAUGCAGCAACGCCGCGUGGAGGAUGACGCAUUUCGGUGUGUAAACUCCUUUUAUAUGUCAAGAAAAUGACGGUAGCAUAUGAAUAAGCACCGGCUAACUCCGUGCCAGCAGCCGCGGUAAUACGGAGGGUGCAAGCGUUACUCGGAAUCACUGGGCGUAAAGGACGCGUAGGCGGGUUGGAAAGUCAGGUGUGGAAUCCUACAGCUUAACUGUAGAACUGCACUUGAAACUUCUAAUCUAGAGUAUGGGAGGGGGAGAUGGAAUUAGUGGUGUAGGGGUAAGAUCCGUAGAUAUCACUAGGAAUACCUAAAGCGAAGGCGAUCUCCUGGAACAUUACUGACGCUAAGGCGUGAAAGCGUGGGGAGCAAACAGGAUUAGAUACCCCCGUAGUC